UACGGGGGGGGCAAGCGUUGUUCGGAAUUACUGGGCGUAAAGGGCUCGUAGGUGGCCAACUAAGUCAGACGUGAAAUCCCUCGGCUUAACCGGGGAACUGCGUCUGAUACUGGAUGGCUUGAGUUCGGGAGAGGGAUGCGGAAUUCCAGGUGUAGCGGUGAAAUGCGUAGAUAUCUGGAGGAACACCGGUGGCGAAGGCGGCAUCCUGGACCGACACUGGCACUGAGGAGCGAAAGCCAGGGGAGCAAACGGG
rnacentral:rRNA from 1 species